UUAUUAAGGGUGUUGAGUACAUUUUCAGUUCUGUGGACAUGUUAAGUCACCUCAGGAACAGUGAGGAAGCUUUGUGGUCCUCUCCAAGAAUGGGAUCAAAGCACCUGGUCUUUCAAGGACUCAUUUUAAGGGCAGGGACAACAUCUGAAGCUCAGUAGAUUGUCAUCUAGUGCCAUGCAUUUAGAAAUUCCAGUCUUUGCAGGAGCAAGGAACACUUUGGGAUGAACCUGACUCAGGUCACUCACAAGGACAGACAUGAAAGGGCAUCUCUUCUGAGCCUUGUAGAAAGCAUUGCCAAUGACACAAUCAGCCACCUAAAGCAGCAGCAUCCAUGCAUGAUGUGACAAUCAGAAGCAGAAGCAAAAUGUGUAUGAAAAAUCCCUCCCAAGGAAAAGUUUUUCAGUAAGAAUCUCCGUAAAAAAAAAAAAAAGAACUCUGCUAUUUCCUCUGAAGGUCAGCAAGUACUCAGCAUGUCAGACUAAAAGUGACAAACUUUGCAAUGAGCUCUCACUGAAAGCAGUCAGCUACACAUCCUUUCUGCUUUUUUACUGAGAAGUCUUUCCGUGCCAAUUGCAGCAGCCCUGGGUCUCUCAGAGCUGCAUCCAUCCAGGUCCAGCCUCCUGCCAGAAUUCACUUACACCCUCAUCUCCAGGACUGACAAACAUGCCAGCUGCCCUGGGGACAGGCUCCUCACUGGCUAUUGAUAAGGAGAAGCAUGCUAAUUGUCAUUAGUAUUGUCAACAAAUACGACAAAAGAGUUUCUGUAACAAAAGAAAAUCCAUUGGAGGAUCCUUUCCAAUGCACAAAGCGUUUUCUGGUAACUGACAGCAGGAGCUGUAUAAUGGGAAGUGUCACUCAUGCCCUCUUAUCUGAUGUUUAAGGGUUAUCUAUUUACACCA